AGCUUAAUAAAUAUUAUAUAUUAUUUUGUAUGUAUUAUUUACGUAUAAUAAUAAUAAUAAAAAAAAAUUAAUUGGGUUGAUAGAGUAAAAAUCAAAAGCCUUAACAUUGCCUGCAGAUCAGUCAACAGUUUCUACUACUAGUACCAAAUACAAUAUUUUAAGAUUACUAUAAAAUCAAAAACAUCAAUAGCAGCUUCAGCAGCAACCUUCCACACAUGAAGCUAUUCAAAAGAUAAUAAAGAAAAUACACUGUUUUGAAAUUAAAACUACUAAUCGGUUACUAACACAUUGGUGACUUGGAUCUAUACACAACACUACUCAUAGUAUACCUACUCAUACCUACCCAUGAUUGAAAUCUUUAGCUUAUACUGUGUGAUCAUAGAUGAAGGAUAUUUAUUGUCAUAAUUAUGUUGCACCAUGAGUGUUGAUAGUGAUUCUAGUAACAAAGAAAUAAAGACAACAUACUACUAUUACAGAAGAAAUAAAAA